AACGAACGCUGGCGGCAGGCUUAACACAUGCAAGUCGAGCGCCCCGCAAGGGGAGCGGCAGACGGGUGAGUAACGCGUGGGAAUCUACCCAUCUCUACGGAAUAACGCAUGGAAACGUGUGCUAAUACCGUAUACGUCCUUCGGGAGAAAGAUUUAUCGGAGAUGGAUGAGCCCGCGUUGGAUUAGCUAGUUGGUGGGGUAAAGGCCUACCAAGGCGACGAUCCAUAGCUGGUCUGAGAGGAUGAUCAGCCACACUGGGACUGAGACACGGCCCAGACUCCUACGGGAGGCAGCAGUGGGGAAUAUUGGACAAUGGGCGCAAGCCUGAUCCAGCCAUGGCGCGUGAGUGAUGAAGGCGCUAGGGUUGUAAAGCUCUUUCACCGGUGAAGAUAAUGACGGUAACCGGAGAAGAAGCCCCGGCUAACUUCGUGCCAGCCGCCGCAGUAAGAC
rnacentral:rRNA from 1 species